AGGACGAACGCUGGCGGCGUGCUUAACACAUGCAAGUCGAGCGAGGCCCUUCCUUCGGGAAGGUGUCCUAGCGGCGAACGGGUGAGUAACACGUGGGCAACCUGCCCUCAGCUCUGGGAUAACUCCGGGAAACCGGGGCUAAUACCGGAUACGACCUCUAAGGGCAUCCGAAGAGGUGGAAAGUUUUUCGGCUGAGGAUGGGCCCGCGGCCUAUCAGCUUGUUGGUGGGGUGACGGCCUACCAAGGCGACGACGGGUAGCCGGCCUGAGAGGGUGACCGGCCACACUGGGACUGAGACACGGCCCAGACUCCUACGGGAGGCAGCAGUGGGAAUAUUGCGCAAUGGGCGGAAGCCUGACGCAGCGACGCCGCGUGAGGGACGAAGGCCUUCGGGUUGUAAACCUCUUUCAGCAGGGACGAAGCGAAGUGACGGUACCUGCAGAAGAAGCACCGGCCAACUACGUGCCAGCAGCCGC
rnacentral:rRNA from 1 species